rnacentral:rRNA from 1 species
UACGGAGGGUGCAAGCGUUGUCCGGAUUCAUUGGGUUAAAGGGUGCGCAGGCGGGACAUUAAGUCAGGGGUGAAAGACGGUUGCUCAACAAUCGCAGUGCCUUUGAUACUGGUGUUCUUGGGUGACCUUGAGGUAGGCGGAAUGGGUGGUGUAGCGGUGAAAUGCAUAGAUACCACCCAGAACUCCGAUUGCGAAGGCAGCCUACUGGAGGUUUACCGACGCUCAGGCACGAAAGCGUGGGGGAUCAAACAGG